AAAGAAAAAAAAAAGAUUCCAUUUUAGUCUUCCAACCCCAAAGUUAAUUAGCCCAAAUUCAUGGCCUAAAUCCCUUAAAGCCCAAAACAUUGAGCCCAUUACCCAUUUGACCUAACCUAAUUCCUACCCUUAUAAAAUAAAGCUAGACCUAUACACCUUAGACCCCUACCUUAAGUUUCAGCCGUUUUUGGAGACCAGAAGAGACCCUCAUAUAUCAUCUUCUUCUUGGAUACAUUUUAGAUUUCAGAAGAAAGGAGCUAACAAAAAAAAAAUCACCCGAAGAAUUUGAUCGUCUCUUUCACUUUGAAAGAGGCAGCCAUUGAUUUCUUCUUCUUCAGUUUCACCAAAAAAGCCGCGGCUCCUCUAGUUUUCUCCCUAGAACAGCCAUAUUUCACCAUGUACACUCAUCUUUUCUCCUCCAUAAAGACCCAUUUUUUCCACCAAUGGAGGUAGCUCACAAAAAUAUAACGAAAAUGCUUUUGUGGAUACCAUAGCUUGUCCUUUAAAGCUCCAUAAAAGCGCAACAGUCUAGCCCCAAAACCUCACCUAAAAUAAGUAGCCUUUCUUCCUCAAUAAAUAGCUGAAAAACGCAACAAAAACAGCCAUGAAAGCUGGCCACUAUAUCUCCCCGAAAACCAUCCGCAAACCAGCUAAAACACAGCAGCAACCGCUGCGAGAAACUAGCUGAAAAUUCCAUGAAACCCGGGCUGAAAACCAGCCGAAACUCACCUCAAAACUGUUGCAAAAUGACACCUUUAAAACCACCUAAACCUUUCCCUGUCUUCACUGUAAAACACCCAUCCAUUCCGGUGAAAAUCAGUCGAGUAACCAGACUCCGUCGAAGAAAAGGCGAGGAUUCUAUCUCGAGGUUCCGGUUCGUAGCUUCGGCUUUUAGUCCGACGAUUGUUGCUCUGUUUGGCUUGAUCGAGCUGUAAAUUUUCAGAUUUGUUCAUCACUAUAAAGGUCCAUCUCUAACCCUUUUUUUAUAAUUAGUAUUGAUUGUUAUCUUUUUGAGUUUGAAUAAAUCUUGCGCCCAUUAUGGAUAUUGUUUAAUCUUUUUGUUUUAGUUUGUGCUUAUAUUACUACUAUCUCGAUUUGGCAUGUUAAAUGGAAGCUUUGUUUGAAGGUUUUUUUUUCUCUAUUAAAUUACAAAGGUAGUAGCUAGAAUCCAGUUCGCUUUGUGAUCGCCUCGUUGACAUCUUGGAUUAGCAUGUUGAAGUAUUAAUUUUAAAAUCGGGACAAUAGUUUGCUUCUAAAAAUUCUCUUUGUUAUUUUCUUCAAUUACAAAAGAAUUCCUUUGUCUCCUCUAAUGUUCAAUAUUUUAUUCAAGUGUUAUGCUAGUUUCCCGUUUCCUUGCUUAGUGUUGUUUGGCCAAGGUUAAUCCAUGACCAAUUGGGCCUAACUUAUGUAAACGGCAGAAUAACAUGAGCUUUUUCAAGUUGUAAAUAUUUUCUAAUGAAUGAACCCAUCCUUUUUCCACAAAUAAUUCCAUUAUCUAUGGCCUUACAAUAAUCUCAAAUUAGCUUUAGUUAACAAUUCAUGAACAUUGUAGCUUGCUUUAGGCGCGAUAAUUAAUAAAUCAUCAUGGCUAUGGGUACGGUUCCCGUGGCAUGGUCGUGAUACCUAAUCCAAACUCGGGUGUGUAUUUCAUGUGACCCGAUCAUAACAACUUCGAAUGUUAAUAAAAAUAAAAUAUGUUGUGAAUCGCGGAUGCAUUUCAUGUUGUGCGGUUUGCGGCGUGUCCCAAAACGGCAAGUGUACGAUAAUCGUAACUUGUUCAAGAAAUAAUUCCAUAAAUCCUAAAAAGGUUUUUAAAAUAAAUAAAAGCGGUUAUAAAGUUAAGACUGCACACUAGGCUUAAAACAUGUAAUAAAUCAGACAAUAGGCCAUUUUUAAUAGUUUAAGCGACCGUGCUCAAACUACGAAACUCGGGAAUACCUAACACCUUCUUCUGUAUUAACAAAAUUCCUUAUCUAGAAUUUCUGGCUCGCAGACUUUUAAAUAAAGUCAAAUCUCCUCGAUUUGGGAUUUUAAAAAUAAACCGGUGACUUGGGACACCAAAUAAACUAUUCCAAGUGGCGACUCUGAAAAAGAAUAAUCCCAUUUCGAUUAAUGUAACUUUAAUUGGAAAAACUCCCUUAUGCCCCCUCGAGUGGUAAAAAAGGAGGUGUGACACCUAUUAGUGGAAGUGAUGGCUGGAUGACUGUGUGAUGAGAAUGAUGUGACCACGAGAUGUAUUCAUAUGAUUUGGAUGCGACGAGAAGGGUCUGCUUGAGGAUAGAAAGAACUACUUGGUGCUUGAUUUCCAUCUUGAUUUGAUGUAUAGCCCCAAGUUAUGGGUAUGUGAAGAAUCUUUUUCAUGUUGUUUAGUUGGGGAGUGGAGCAGAUUUCAUGUUACAAUAUGAGUUCAAACUCAGGAAGAUUAAGUGAUUGUGUAAAGUUUAUGACUGUGGAAGGGUAUGAAGAGCUAUUAGUUUGAGGCGAAACAGGUGGGUUAUCUCCUUCGGAGCGUUCAAACGUUUGUGUGAGCCUUACGUUGUUUGUUGGAAGAUCUCUUUUAUUAGUGAAAUGUAUGUAUGCAAUUUGAAUUUGGGUCUCUUAAGAGAGUGAGCUUGACUGUUACGAGGGUGAAUGCGAGAUUUGCAGAAGAUUUGAAGUACUAGAUGGACUGUGUUGCACGAGCUUAUGAAGGAUUGAGUUUAAUCUCACUAUGGUAUUAUGGCAGUAAUAGAGUUAUGCAUUAUGAGUUAUUGUGUGUUUUGAUCUAUGGUUUUGAGCCAAGUGGGGGAGUCUGCUAUUGAUUAGUUGAUUUCACGGUUAUGUGCUAUGUUGGUUCCAGUUUGAGGCGUACUAGUGAAUUAGUUAUGGCUUACGGAGGUUGAGACCGAGGAUGGCUUGAGUAAAGGAAAUUUCAAUAUAGGUUAUGUUAUGCUUUAUGUAUGUAUGAGAUUCACGGAAUGACUUGAGUUAUUAUUGGUAAAGGAUGUACGAUGCAUAGAACAAGAAGUUUCUUGGUUGCAUUAAGGUGGGGUUACUUCCAUAGGUGUUGUUGUUCUAAUGGGGCUUAGGUCGUUCGGUCUGUUUGAUCGGUCUAAUUAUGGUUUGAGUAGAGUGGAUGACUCUCGAGAAUGGUUCUAAUGGGUUCGAGAUUUUACAUGUAAUAAUUGGAGAUUUUCAGGUUGUAUAUAUUUGGCUAGAAAUGGAGAUUUGCACUGGAGGGUGUCAAGACUCGUGGUAUUUUUAUAUCAUUAUGGAUUCUACACAUCAGUAUCAGGAAGGUGAAGGUAAUGGCUUUAGAUUCGCAGUAAGUCUCUUUAGGGAAACUAUUUCGAAUGUGGUGCCUUUGGGGAUAUUUGAGAGAGUAGUCAGCGACUAAUGAGCCGUAGGGCGGUGUGGCUUUAUGCUUAGGUCUCGUGUGGCGAGUCUGGGUCGAGGAUUGUGGUGUUAUAGCGAGAAGAAGUAUCAAGUUGAAGGUAAAUCAAAAGGAACUUGGAUAGAUGUGAUAGCUUGGUAGUAGGCCUGAUCAGCAAGGUAAGGAUAUGAUUAGUUCUUUGGGUACUUACGAGGUAAUAAGUAUCUACAGAUGUUUCGCGGCAAUGCUCUUUGGUUUUAGUGGCAUGCGUAGCCUAGUUGAGUUAGAAGGAUUCAGUCCUGACGGUGUAGUUUGUGCAGAUGGAAUCCAGAGAGUUCUUGACGGUUUAUACCACAGUUAGAGAUGUAUAUUUUCUACGAGCGUGAGGAGCAUGGGAUGUAUAGUGAUUUUCUUCUAGAUGGGAUCAUUGGAAAUUUCUUAGCUAGUUGAGUACGUAGUUGUUUGUGGCUCGGAAUGGAUAUGAAGGUCUUAUAGUUAUCCUAGGAGGGUAUAGUAUAUGCGGUAUGUUGUGUAUUGCAUGUGUAAGGUCAUAGUUCAUUUAUGAAAGGAAGGUCAUAAAUUCUUAGACAACAUGGGCAAUUUCAGAUGACUAGGUAAAUAAUAUCACUGAUUGGUGUGGCUUGAUGAGGGUAUACAUUUUAGAAAGGGAGAUGUGUUUGAGUUGAGGAUACUUCAUUAGUAUUGCGACACUCUCUUGUUGGAUCGACUGCUGAUAUUCGAGUUUGCUUGGUGGCACGGGAGAAUUUUUGGAGUACCUCUCAUGGAAUGAUUGGGUAUUAGAGGUGUGGUAUGUUUUCGGACGGCGAAAUUGGGAUCAGAUAUGGUGAUUUGUGUGCUUUAUGGACUUGGAGGCCGGGAGUUCUCAUAGACAAGUUAUGUUGUGGUUGUGGGUCGCGCGUAUCGGCUUGGUGUGGUGACUAUCGGGGGUUUGGAGACCCAAGCGAAUCCUUUGUCGCUUGGUAUGUUAGAUUUUGGAUGUGAUAUUGGGCAUAGACUGGUUGUCUCAGUAUCCUGUUAUUCUGGACUUCUGCGCUAAGGGGCGACGUUGGCUAUGCCGGGGAUGCCACAGAUUGAGUAGCGAGGUUUGACGGAUUAUGUUCCCAGUAGGGUGGUUUCAUUUUUGAAGACCCAGCAGAUGGCUAGGAAGGGUUUUCUUUCUUAUUUGGCCUUCGUGAUGGAUGUUAGUGCAGAGCCUCCUACCAUUGAUUCAGUUCCGGCGAUGAGGGAUUUUCCGGAUGUGUUUCCUGAUGCCGCGCAUGUCGCCAGACAGGGUUGUUGAUUUCGGUAUUGAUUUGGUGCCGGGCACCGUAUCGUAUGGCACCGACGGAGCUAAAGGAAUUGAAGGAGCAGCUUCAGGAACUCCUUGAUAAGGGGUUCAUUAGUAUGCCAAUAUAUAUGCGUGUUCCACAUCGAGUCAGCUUGAUUGACUUCAGGUUGUAUUAUUGAGGGAUGCGUUGAUUCGAUUGCUAUUGAGUUUAUUAGUGAUCUGGAGAGAUCUAUGAGUUACCUUUCCAUGUUGCGAGGCAUUAUGACUUGUUGGUUAUAGGCACAUGUGGUACGAUUCUAUUGGGGUCUCUCUGUGGACUUAGAGCGUGAAGAGUAUUAGGUAUUGCUCGGUUGAUGGCAUAUCAGUUGUGUCCUUUCGGAUUUGUGUAAUGUUAUGUCAAUUGCUUCGCCGUGGUUAUGAUGAUUUUCUUUGGUUCUAGACAUCAAAUUGCACGUGGUUGUCGAUUUUGAGCAUAGUGACUUGAAGUGUUUCAUGUGGACCAGUGUUUGGAUAGGGUCGUGCAUUGCAGCAAAGUUAUGUGGAGGUAUUAUCCUUCAGGUUAGAUUCAUAUGUUCUGUUUCUACGAUGUGUGACGAGUUCUCAGCAUUGUGUGUAGUGGUACUGGUGAGCUUGCGAUACAACUCUCUCAUUUGAGUCAUUUUCAUGAUUUGAGUACGUUCGGAUCGUUGCUUAUUGGUGCGCGGAUUGCACGAGUUGUGGGUUUAGAUUGUAUUGAUGUGUCAUGUCACCCGAGUAGUUGUGUUGGAUUAGAUGAGAUCGUUGGGGUAUAGAAUGAAUACAAACGGAUUUGGUUUCAGCGUGUUGGAAGGAUAAUAUCGAUGUUUGGUUCAGAAAUUUGCUAUGGUCCUUGCAAAGGAGAAGUGACUUCACGAAUGGUUGAUAUGAGGAAUGAUUAUGACUUUCUACGUGUUACAUUUAUCAUUGGCAGUAUACAGAAGUGUUGGAAUGAGGAUUUAUUUGAUAAGAGGCUUAUUAUCAAUAUUCAGUUGUUUUAAGCAAUUGCUGUGAUUAGAAGUUAUUGCUAGGAGUGUUUGAGUUAUGUGGUAUAUCAUGUAAUUGUAUCUGAGGUUGCAGGUAUGGUUUGUUACAAUUUGUUUGGGAUUAUUCAGAGUAUAGCUGUGAGAUUCUAAUCUUGUAGAUGAUUUUAGAAGUGGAAAUGUGGUUCUAUGGUUUAUCGGCUAGGUUGGAUUGCGAAAUUUCAGUUACAUUGUGUUAUCAUACCUAUAUGAGAUAGGGUGACGUGUGAUCACCCCUGGGUAUGUGCAUGGUAAGAUUACACAGCGAUUUGAUGGCUUUCAGAACAACUCUAGGUACGUUCAAGGACGAACGUAUGUUUAAGUAGGGGAGGAUGUAAUGACCCGACCGGUCGUUUUGAGCUUUUGCUCUCCGCUCGUUAGUUCUCGGGCAUGACUAGGCCCGUGUGAUAUAUUAUGACUUAUGUAAAUCGUCGAUUUUGGUUUCAGGGUAAUCAAAAUGGAUUUGGAAGAACAGUUCUCAGUUUGAAGCUAAAAAUUUGAAAGGUUUGACCACGUUUUGACUUUUUUGUAAUCGAUCUCGGAUUUGGAUUUCUAUGAUUUGGUUAGCUCCGUUAUGUGAUUUUGGACUUGGGAGCGCGUCCGGAAUGUAUUUUGGAGGUCUGUGGUAGAUUUAGGCUUGAAUUGGCGAAAUUGGAAAUUUGGCAUUUUCUGGUCGGUAGUGGAAAUUUUGAUAUUGGGGCCCGAAUGUAAUUAUGGAAGUUGUAUUAGGUACAUUGUAUCAUUUGUAAUGUGUGCGCAAAAUUUCAGAUCAUUCGAACGAGGUUUGAUAGACUUUUUGAUCGAAUUCAGAAGUUUUUGGGAUUCUUAGGCUUGAAUCUGAUGUUUUGAUGUUGUUCUGAGCGUUCGGAGGAUCGGAACAAGUUUGGAUGAGGUUAUCGGAUGUGUGUGUCAUGUUUGGUUGAGGUCCCGAGGGCCUCGGGUAAGUUUCGGGUGGUUAACGGAUCAAUUAUUGGUUUUGAAAGUUGGCAGAAUUUGCUGGUAUUUUUGUUGCAGAAAACCCUUCUUCGCGUUCACGAUAGGCCCUCACAUUCGGGAAGGGUUGUUGAGUGAGGCUUCAGGUUUGUUCUUCACGUUCGCGAAGGUUCAGGAGAUCAAGCUACGCGCUCGCGACCAGGGGAUCACGUUCGCGUAGGGUCGAGCUGUGUGGUCUUCGUGUUCGCGGGUGGGCCCUCGCGUUCGCGAAGGAGAGAAUUUUGGUUAUAGAAGCUUUGUGCUUCACGAACGCGAGGGUACUGCCACGUUCGAGAUAAAGAAAAUAUCUGGGCAGAAUAUUAAGUUCUAAAAACGAGGGUUUGGUCCAUAAUUUCAAAUUUCAUUAGAGAGCUCGGGAGAAGGCGAUUUUGGAGGGGAAUUUCAGAGGAUUGAUUGGGGUAAGUGGUCUUCACUUAAUUUUGGUUAAAUUCCAUGAUUGUAUCUUGAUUUUUAUCAUAUAAAAUGGAAAUUUGGGGUGAAAAUUGGGGGGAAAGUGGAAGAGAAUUAGAGAGAUAAUUUUGGGGAUUUGAAUGGGCAUUUGAUGUCGGAUUUUGAUGAUUUUGGUAUGUAUAGACUCGUGAGAGGAUAAGGAUUCUAUUGAUGAAUUUUAUCGGAUUCCGAGACGUGAGGCCGGGGUCGGGUUUGCCCAAUUUUGGGGUUCUUGGUGUAAAUUGGUUAUUUUCGAGUGAGCUUUGUUCCCUUAGUAUAUUUUGAUGGUAUGAACCUGUUUUUGGUUAGAUUUGGAGCAUUCGGAGGUCGAGUCAAGAGGCAAAAGCAUCGCAGGCUAGAGUUUGGACCGAAUUGAGGUAAGUAAUGAUUGUAAAUGUUUGUUCUGAGGGUAUGAAACCCCAGAUUUCACACAAUUGUGCUUCUUUGAGGUGAUGCACACGCUAAAUGACGAGCGUGGGGUCGUGCACCGUUGGGGAUUGUGACUUAGUCCUCCCGUACGACUGUUAAGUCACAUAUUUGAUUGAAAACUGUUUGAUAUCAUUGUGUUUUGGAAAUUAUUACCAUGUUUUGGGCUGAACACCAUAUUUGGGCCUCGUGCCAACUGUUUUGGACCCUUAGGGGAUUUUUACUACUAUUCCUCAGUGUUUUGACUUCAUAUUUGUACUUAGUCAUGUUGUAUUCUACUGUUUUCAUAACUCCAUCAUAUUUACUCGUUUCUGUUAUUUUAAAUGAUAUUUUGGGCUGAGCAUCAUGUUUUACUGUUGCCCAAGUGGCUUGAGAGAUUUCUAGCUGAGUGAGGCCGAUGGCCUGUGUUGUGAGGAUACUAUUGGAUCGGGCUGCGCGCCGCAGCAGUGUUGUACUGAUUCAUGAUUUUGAGGCCGAGGGCCUGAUUUGUUAUGCCACGAGGUGGCUUGUUAUGAGGGCGAGGGACUAUUUGAUUAUGCUACGAGAUGGCUUUUUAUUGCGCUUGGGCUGUAGGAGCCUCUCCAGGAGUCUGUACACCCCAGUGAGCGCGGGCACCCAGUGUGAGUGAUAUGUUGUAGUCCGAGGGGCUGUUGUUGUUUCAUAUUGUUGCCUGAGGGGCUGUUCUUGAUCCAUGUUUUGCCCAAGGGGCGGUUCUUUAUUCAUGUUAUGCUCGAGGGGCUAGUUAUGUUGAUAUUAUGCCCGAGGAGCGGUUUAUGAUACAUGUUUUGCCCGAGGGGCUGUUUACUUUCUAUCAUUUUUACUCACUAUUUUAUCACUCGUUUGAAACUAUUAAAAGUUGUUUUAAAAGGUUUUACCGAAACUGAGCAUGACUUACGAAGUAAAUGAUUUAUGUACUGUUUUGGAAAUGUAUUGUAUUUGUUGUAGCAUUAUGACGUGGUUUACGUGUUUUCUUACUGCUCAACUUUCAUUUACUUUUAUUACUUACUGAGUUGGUGUACUCACAUUACUCUUUGCACCUUGUGUGCAGAUUCAGGAAAUUCUGAACCUGGUAACGGGUGUUGAUUGCUCAGUGGCAGAGUCAUCGGAGUUAGCAAGGUAGCCGCCUGACGUUCGCAACACUGCUCUUCUCCCUCUUGUCUUCCUUAUAUUGUAUUUAGUAUAUUUUCGGACUCUUCAUUGUAUUCAGACCUUCGUAGAUGCUCAUGACUUAUGACACCCCAAUGUCGGGCUUGUGUAUUUAUUCCUCACUGUUCAAUUAGACUUACAUUAUGAGAUAUUUGAUUAAUUAAUGGCUUAAAAUGACUUUUAUUGAUUAAA
rnacentral:lncRNA from 1 species